rnacentral:rRNA from 1 species
AAGUUUUAACAGCUGCGGUAUUUUAACUGUACUAAGGUAGCAUAAUAAUUUGCCUUAUAAUUUGAGGCUAGAAUGAAUGGUUUGACGAAGGUUAAUCUGUCUCUAUUUUACUUUUUAGAAAUUAAUUUUCAUAGUGAAAAGGCUUGAAUUUUUUAAAGGGACGAGAAGACCCUAUUGAGCUUGUAAUUUUAUUAUUAUUAGUAUUAUUUAUUCUUAUUGGUAGUAUAUAAAUUUUAAUUGGGGUGAUUAAGGAAUAAGGUUUGUAGUUUUAGUAACUUCCUUAUUAAUAAUGAUUGUUAAAUAAAGUAACCAAUAUUAUUGCUUAUACUAUAGUUACCAUAGGGAUAACAGCGUAAUUUAUUUAGAGAGUUC